GUGCGUGUGUGUGUGUGUAUGUGUGUUUACUAUGUCAUUGAAUUAUUUCAGCAAGCCUAUGGGAUGGCUUCCAUGUUCCUAUUUAACAGAUGAGGAAAUGGAGACUCAGUCACUUGCCCAGGUGCACCCAGCACGCAGGUUGCUUUGUUCACAGCUAUAUCCCCAAUGCCCAGAAUAAUACUCAGCAUAUAAUGGAGGCUUUGUAGGAAGAAUGAAUGAAUGAAUGGCAGAGCUGGGGUUUGAACCUAGAUCUGUUUGACUCUAUACUCUUAAGAACUCAGCUGCAUGAGUUGUGUUUAAUUAAAAUAUUUGGUGCUUUUUUUUUUUUUUUUGCUACAAAAUCUCACUCUGUCACCCAGGCUGGAGGUUGCAGUGAGCCGAGAUCACGCCACUGCUCUCCAGCCUGGUGACAGACGAAGACUCCAUCUCAAAAAAAAUAAAAAAUAAAAAAAAAUUAGCUGGGCCUGGUGGCAGAAGCCUGCAAUCCCAGCUACAUGGAAGGCUGAGGCAGGAGAAUUGCUUAAAAUCAGGAAGCGGAGGUUGCAGUGAGCCAAGAUCGCGCCAUUGUAUUCCAUCCAGGGCGACAGAGCAAAACUUCGUCUC
rnacentral:lncRNA from 1 species